UACGUAGGGUGCGAGCGUUGUCCGGAUUUAUUGGGCGUAAAGAGCGUGUAGGCGGUUUGGUAGGUCCGUUGUGAAAACUGGAGGCUCAACCCUUCAGAGGUCGACCGAAACCAUCUGGCUAGAGUCCGGGAGAGGAGAGUGGAAUUCCUGGUGUAGCGGUGAAAUGCGCAGAUAUCAGGAAGAACACCCGUGGCGAAAGCGGCUCUCUGGAACGGUACUGACGCUGAGACGCGAAAGCGUGGGGAGCGAACAGG
rnacentral:rRNA from 1 species